rnacentral:rRNA from 1 species
AUUCCAGCUCCAAUAGCGUAUAUUAAAGUUGUUGUGGUUAAAAAGCUCGUAGUUGGAUUUCGGCGGGUAUUGGUUGGUUUGAAUUGCUUCAACACUGACUUUUUUACCCGUGUGUUUUGCCAGAAUUUAGCGGGUGAUCUUCGCCGAUUGUCCGUUGGAACUGGUAGGUUUACUUUGAAAAAAUUAGAGUGCUCAAAGCAAGCUUACUGCUUGAAUAGUUGCGCAUGGAAUAAUAGAAUAGGAAGUCGUUUCUAUUUUGUUGGUUUUCGGAAAUCGACUUAAUGAUUAAUAGGGAUAGUCGGGGGCAUUCGUAUUCAAACGACAGAGGUGAAAUUCUUGGACCGUUUGAAGACGAACUAAGGCGAAAGCAUUUGCCAAGAAUGUUUUCAUCA